AGUGAACGCUGGCGGUAGGCCUAACACAUGCAAGUCGAACGGCAGCACAGGAGAGCUUGCUCUCUGGGUGGCGAGUGGCGGACGGGUGAGGAAUACAUCGGAAUCUACUUUUUCGUGGGGGAUAACGUAGGGAAACUUACGCUAAUACCGCAUACGACCUACGGGGGAAGGCAGGGGAUCUUCGGACCUUUCGCGAUUGAAUGAGCCGAUGUCGGAUUAGCUAGUUGGCGGGGUAAAGGCCCACCAAGGCGACGAACCGUAGCGGGUCUGAGAGGAUGAACAGCCACACUGGAACUGAGACACGGUCCAGACUCCUACGGGAGGCAGCAGUGGGGAAUAUUGGACAAUGGGCGCAAGCCUGAUCCAGCCAUACCGCGUGGGUGAAGAAGGCCUUCGGGUUGUAAAGCCCUUUUGUUGGGAAAGAAAUCCAGCUGGUUAAUACCCGGUUGGGAUGACGGUACCCAAAGAAUAAGCACCGGCUAACUUCGUGCCAGCCGCCGCCGUAA
rnacentral:rRNA from 1 species